rnacentral:rRNA from 1 species
AUUGAACGCUGGCGGCAGGCCUAACUCAUGCAAGUCGAGCGGCAGCGGGAAAGUAGCUUGCUACUUUUGCCGGCGAGCGGCGGACGGGUGAGUAAUGCCUGGGGAUCUGCCCAGUCGAGGGGGAUAACAGUUGGAAACGACUGCUAAUACCGCAUACGCCCUACGGGGGAAAGGAGGGGACCUUCGGGCCUUUCGCGGUUGGAUGAACCCAGGUGGGAUUAGCUAGUUGGUGGGUUAAUGGCUCACCAAGGCGACGAUCCCUAGCUGGUCUGAGAGGAUGAUCAGCCACACUGGAACUGAGACACGGUCCAGACUCCUACGGGAGGCAGCAGUGGGGAAUAUUGCACAAUGGGGGAAACCCUGAUGCAGCCAUGCCGCGUGUGUGAAGAAGGCCUUCGGGUUGUAAAGCACUUUCAGCGAGGAGGAAAGGUUGUUGGCUAAUACCCAGCAACUGUGACGUUACUCGCAGAAGAAGCACCGGCUAACUCCGUGCCAGCCGCCGCGGUAA